CUCAGAGAGCAGGGAAAGGGUAGGAGGAGAGACAGAAUUUGGAAGUGAAAAUAAUUUUUAAUAACCUUUCUCCUCCUGGUUCCUAGGGCAGACUGGUUAUUAGCACUGAGGGGUGUCAGGUUAGGGGGUUUCCCUUCUAAUGUUUGUACUGCCAUUGUAUGUUGGAAGUUUCCCUCUAGAGGCCACCCCACCAGAUAGCAUAGAAACCCCAAACAAUCAGUUUCAGGAAAACUGUCUAGAAGGUCCCAAACAGUCCCCAUCACAAAAACGCUUUCUCUUCAUUUUAAUGUGAGGCAAUCAUGGAGUGGUCCUAGAUCUCCCACAGGUAUUGCCUUCACCCCAAUAGUCCAAUAGCAAACUUGUAAGUCACUGUUCAGGUUGGCUGUGAAACCCUGUCACUGAACUGGCAUGGGAAGUUCUCGCGCCAACAGGGUGAGGAGCCUUCUUUGCCAUCUGCUCAGCAAUUGACAGUUUGAAUGGCCUGGAAUGAGCUCAGCUCCACAGAGCCAGCUUGUGUCAGGGCUGAGCCUGAGCCCAGAUCUUCUUGAAUUGGAGGCAGCUCUCUGCCUGUGAUGCCACCCUUAUCAAAGUCAAUGGAUUGAAGUUGAAGACUCGAGCUGCUAUCUGGGGUGAAGGAGAUGUUGGAGAUGAGUGUGACUCAGGGGGCAAUGGAGCCCUGUUAUGUCAGAACCCCCCAAAUCAAGGGAGGAGGAAGCUGAAAGAGAAGAGUCUGCUCUCUCACUUCAUGCCAGGUGGGAAGAAGAGCCAAAGGCAAGAGCAAGCCAUAUCCGAUUCCUAGAUUUUGGCGCCCCUGCUAGACUACUUGCCACCAGCCCCUCUCUGCAUCUUACUUGGUUAAAAGAGGGGAAAAAACAGAAGGAGAGACAGAGUUCUGAUCUCUAGAUGCAGCCAAAGUAUGUGUUUCCCAGCAAAACCAGGUUGGGGUUUGAGCUGAUCCUUCUAUCCCUGGUCAUCUUCUCUAAGGACCAAACAUAAUACAGAAGGUACUGAUUGAGAGUCCCCAAAACUCUCGAGGCAUCAAAGUAGCUACACCAAGAAGAUCCGUCUCAGGAUCUCUGUUUGGUUGCCUAUGAUCAGUCAAAGACAAGUGAAGCAGAAGAAGCAGACCUCCUAGGAUAGCUGCU
rnacentral:lncRNA from 1 species